rnacentral:misc_RNA from 1 species
GCAGCAGCAACAACAACAACAACAACAACAACAACAACUACAAAUACAACAGUCACAGCAACAGCAACAGCAGCCUCAACAGGAGCAGCAUGGGCAGCAUCAACAGACACAUAAGAUUAGCAGCAACAGCACCACUUCAUCAUCUGGGCAUCACCACCACCAUCACCACCACCACCACCAUCACUCGGCCAGAGCAGCAGGCUCGGCCACCACCUACCCGCACCACCAGCCAGUGCAGCAACAACGUGCAUCCACUAUCAAACUCUUAGAUCCAUAUCAAAAGUGCUCCACAAAGCGCAAGUGCUUUGACCACAAUGGUCACAGUGGAAGCAGCUCAGGCGUAGAGAACGGGAAAGUGGGGGCUCCAGGCGGUGCCCCGGCCACAACAGCCAAGACGGUGGCCCACGGCAAGGUGGCCCUGGGUGGCGGCCAAAACAAUGCCACCAAGGGCGGAAACUCAUCUGCUGCAGAUGGAGACUAUCAGUUGGUGCAGCAUGAGGUACUUUAUUCACUUACUGCACAGUAUGAGGUAUUGGAAUUCUUGGGGAGAGGCACAUUUGGCCAGGUGGUCAAGUGCUGGAAGAAGGGCACCAAUGACAUCGUGGCAAUCAAAAUCCUCAAGAACCACCCCUCCUAUGCCAGGCAGGGCCAGAUUGAGGUCCAAAUCCUGACAAGACUAAGCCAGGAGAGUGCAGAUGAUUACAACUUUGUGCGAGCAUUUGAAUGUUUCCAGCACAAGAACCACACAUGCUUGGUGUUUGAGAUGCUUGAGCAGAACCUUUAUGACUUCCUUAAACAGAAUAAAUUUUCACCAUUACCCCUCAAGUUCAUCAGACCCAUUCUUCAGCAAGUUUUGACAGCACUUCUUAAACUCAAGCAACUUGGCCUCAUUCAUGCUGACUUAAAGCCAGAAAACAUCAUGUUGGUGGACCCAGUUAGACAGCCUUAUCGUGUCAAGGUCAUUGACUUUGGAAGUGCAUCUCAUGUCAGCAAAGCUGUGUGCAACACCUACCUACAGUCGCGCUACUACAGAGCUCCGGAGAUCGUUUUAGGGCUUCCGUUUUCUGAAGCUAUCGACAUGUGGUCUUUAGGCUGUGUCAUUGCUGAACUUUUCCUAGGAUGGCCGCUGUAUCCUGGGUCAUCAGAGUAUGAUCAGAUCCGAUACAUCAGCCAGACACAAGGAAUCCCUGCAGAACACAUGUUAAACAAUGCCACCAAAACCACUAAGUUUUUCUACAGAGACAAUGAGUCAACUUAUCCCUUUUGGCGGCUUAAGACCCCAGAGGAACACGAGGGGGAAACUGGCAUCAAAAGUAAAGAGGCCCGUAAGUACAUCUUCAACUGCCUAGACGACAUGGGUCAGGUGAACGUGCCCACUGAAUUGGAAGGUGGUGAGUUACUAGCAGAAAAGGCUGACCGAAGGGAGUUUAUCGACCUUCUUAAGCGAAUGCUGACAAUGGACCAAGAGCGGCGUAUCAGCCCGGGCGAGGCACUCCAACAUAAUUUCGUCACACUUCAACACUUUUUGGAUUAUCCUCACUGCUCCAAUGUCAAGGCUUCCAUGCAGAUUCUUCGAACACCGCUAGAGACAGCUGGCAACUCAAGGCCGUUUGUUUACUAUAGUACAGUAAAGCCUCGAAUAACUACGAUGAUGGAGGUUUGUCGGAGGCCAGCUCCGCCUUAUGCCACUGCUGCUGCAGUCUCUCAGGCACAGGCUCUUCCACCCUCACUCAUGCCCAACUACGUCCAUUCCACCAAUGGUUCUGUCACUCUUACCUUCAACAACCAAAUUACCAAUCAGUAUGGACUAUAUCAAGGAAGUCGUAGUGGCCGUGGAUAUAGCGGCAGCAGUCGUGGAGAGGCAGCAGCAGCAAGUUUCCCUCCGCAGUUGGUGUCAUCCAUACUGUGUCCUCCUCCUUACCAGGGCCUGGCUUCACCUGGCAAACAUGUGACCGUAGUGACCCAGCAGCCACAGUUACAGCUCCAGCCUUCUUUACUUCCACAACAAGUGGGUGGUGGGGGUCAGUACGUACCAGUAUCCAUGGUGGAACAACCUGGACGUGGGAUGCUUCUCACCACUGGCGCAGCGGUGGGUGGUGGUUGGGGUCGUGGCGGACAGAUGGCGCUUGUUCCUGGUGGAUGGCAACAGCUCCCACAGCCUCCAACCUCUCUGCAGCAGCCUGGUAGUUUACUACCUGAUGCAACUGAUGCCUGGAGACGAACCUUCCUGGUAGACUCUUCUGUGGUUCAGGGAGAUGCACCACCUGCAAUGUUCCCUGUUGACCUCCACCCAGAACUGUAUGAAGCCUACCCAUCAAGCACCUGGGCAGGAAGCAAACGUUCAAGUAAGGCCUCUCUAAUGGGUCAUUCAGGUGCACAUGCAGCGCACACACUGCAUGUUGGAGGCCGACCUGCGCAGCCUCCAGCACAUGACAAGAAGGAUCUAAGUCAGCAGCUUUCUCCUGUUAAGAAGAGGGUGAAGGAGGGCACACCACCUGGGGCAUCAUCAGCACACUGGGGCAUUAGCAGUGCUGCACCUCAGAUCAACCAUAACAGCUAUCACACCAGUCACAACAGCCAUCAUUCGGCACACCACUCGGGGCACCACCAGGGACAUCCUCACCACCAGAGCCACCACUCUACCCAUUCCACCCAUCAUGCCACUCACUCCUCCAGUCAUCACGCGGUCACACACGGCAGCCACGCCACCCACCCGAGUCAUGGCAGCGGUAGCGGCGGCAGUCACGGCUCUCAUGCAGGUGGACAUCCAGGACAGCCAGCACAACAGACACACAGUAGCCAGCAGCACUCAAACAGCAGUUAUAGCAGCAGUAUUACAGGCAGUGGGCGUCAGCAGACCAUCACCAUUCGUGACACUCCAUCACCUGCUGUGUCAGUCAUCACCAUUAGCGACAGUGAUGAUGAAGCAGGAGGUAAAUGUUGCAAGGACCGGCAUUGCUCUACAUGUGUCAACAACAACCACAACAAGAUUAUAUCCAGCUCGCACCAGCAACCUCAGACAUCGCAUGAUGACAAAUACGCCAGUUUGUCCCAUAACUACACAUCAGUCGGUGCAUCUCAGAGCCAGAAGAAACGUCUGUUGGCCAAGGCUCAGAGUGAGUGCAUGCUUCAUGUGGCCAAGCCUGAGGCCCGUGACUACUCAACACAACAGACCAGGGAGAAUGUUUAUGCCACCAGAGAGCACCUGGCCCCCCCAGCUGCCCACGUCAGAGAUUCACUACUGCAGCCGCCACCUGCCCACCACGACAACCUUCCACCACCUGCCGCCCACACACGUGACCCUGCCCGCACUCACUCUCACACUCAUUCCCAUUCCUACACCCAGCCGCCACAGGCCCACAAAGACUACUCCAUACAGUCUGGAGUGCACCCGCCUGGGCACAAGGACUACUCCCAACCGCCAGUAGCCCAUAGUAACCGUGACCAGCGCGUGGUGGUGGGGGGCAUGAAGGGUUGGGGUAGCAGCAGUGGCAGAGGAAGCAGUUUGGUGGUGGCCGGACAAGGCAGCAGUGGGAGUAGUAGCAGUAGUAGCCUCAGUUAUGCUCACACACUAGGACGAGCACAUGUGUCUGGCAGUCACCAUUCUCCAACAUCCCAAGCUCAUGGGCUGUCUCCAGUUUCCCAGCUUGCUGUGAGUGGAUCACUGGCAGGCAUUGUACCAACCCAGGCAGAUGUAUACAGGGAAUAUCGUCGUGCUGCACCACCACAAGCUGCUGCAGCGGCAGCUGCUGCUGCCCAAGUGUAUGUGGCUACUACCCAACCCACUUACCUUCCCUCCUCCUUGCCAGCCACACACUCUGUCAACCCAUUUACAACAGGUUUCGGCGACUACUGUCACCCUCCUCAGUGGAUUUACAGAUAAGGACUGGCACAUUCAUCACUACAAAAACUCCUUAUAUCCAGUGCACGUGACGUCACCGCACAAUCACAUCACCUGACUCCCAACCCCCAUGACGCAUCACCGCGGCGGUCACCUUUGACAAGAGGAGCAUUGCCACCACCAGCUCACCACAGCAAUGGACGAACUGUGCUGGCUGCACCGCCUGCCCAUCCUCUUCCUGCCCACAUGCAACCCACUGCUGUGUUCCCCACACAUCCACAAGUGGCCCCACCAUACAAUGCUUACACUGCACUUUCCCCUGCCAAGAGCCAGUACCAGAGCAUCUGGUUCUCGGAAUAAAAGCCUUGCCUGAGGGAACAUCCAA